AUACGGAGGGUGCAAGCGUUACUCGGAAUCACUGGGCGUAAAGCGCGCGCAGGCGGCUUGAUAAGUUGGAUGUGAAAGCCUACGGCUCAACCGUAGAACUGCAUCCAAAACUAUUUAGCUAGAGUGUGGGAGAGGAAGAUGGAAUUAGUUGUGUAGGGGUAAAAUCCGUAGAGAUAACUAGGAAUACCAAAAGCGAAGGCAAUCUUCUGGAACACUACUGACGCUGAGGCGCGAAAGCGUGGGGAGCAAACAGGAUUAGAAACCCCGGUAGUCC
rnacentral:rRNA from 1 species